rnacentral:rRNA from 1 species
GACGAACGCUGGCGGCGUGCUUAACACAUGCAAGUCGAACGGAAAGGCCCUGCUUUUGUGGGGUGCUCGAGUGGCGAACGGGUGAGUAACACGUGAGUAACCUGCCCUUGACUUUGGGAUAACUUCAGGAAACUGGGGCUAAUACCGGAUAGGAGCUCCUGCUGCAUGGUGGGGGUUGGAAAGUUUCGGCGGUUGGGGAUGUACUCGCGGGUUAUCAGCUUGUUGGUGGGGUAGUGGCUUACCAAGGCUUUGACGGGUAGCCGGCCUGAGCGGGUGACCGGCCACAUUGGGACUGAGAUACGGCCCAGACUCCUACGGGAGGCAGCAGUGGGGAAGAUUGCACAAUGGGCGGAAGCCUGAUGCAGCAACGCCGCGUGCGGGAUGACGGCCUUCGGGUUGUAAACCGCUUUCGCCUGUGACGAAGCGUGAGUGACGGUAAUGGGUAAAGAAGCACCGGCUAACUACGUG